CUUACAAGUUCUUCUGCAUAGACUACAUGUUCUUUCUUUAUUUACAAAGGUAGAAAUAGCCCAAAAGCCACCCUUUCUACCUUCUUAGAAAAAACAUUCCUGGUGUCUAUCCUUUUCUGGAGUAGUUUCCCUGAAAUGAAGAUAGUUCUCCUCAUUUAUGUUACAGUAGAAAUGGCCCUGUUGCAUGAGUCAAUCCAAGAGAGGAUUAGGGAUGAGGUAGGGAAGCUACACAUGCCCGUGCCUGACCUCUGUAUCUUUUCAUUUAUGGUAGGUAGUAUUCAGCUGGUAUAAAGAUGAAUCCACCUGGGUACAUGCAAAAGGAAAGCAUGGGAUGUGUCACCCUGAUGCUGAAGUCCCAUCUGUUCCACGCAAAGGAACCUGAGGAAAGGCAAGUGUGUUUGAUCCACUCUUUUCCCAGGUGUGUAAAGCUGUCUGUGAUUUGGAAGUUUGCCUCGGCAGGUUCAGUGGGAAAGUAUAGGUCAGUGACCCUGUUAAAGCUGUGUAUAGUAGUAGCCAUUGUGAACAAAUUUGUUGAUGUAGUGAGGUUCAGGUCUGCAACAAUGAACUAUAUAAUGCUUGUAGUGAAAUCAGCUUUUUUGUGGUUUUUUUUCUUGUUUUUUUUGGUUUUUUGUUUUUUUUAAUGUGGAUAUUGUCACAUAAGAUUUCAUAGAUUCCUAGAAGAAAUAAGGAACAGCUCUAGUUAAAAACCUAUUUAUUCUGGAUAGAGUGUCUGACCUCAAACAUCUUACUGUUUCUUACCAUCUCCAUUAAUUUAUUCCAGAGCAGCAGAAAUUUAGAAUUUAGAAGCUGUUUAUAGCAGGCUAUAGCAAGCUUACCUUGCUGAAAUAGAGAAGGACAACACAGAGGCUGUGCAAAGGAACAGUGAAGAGAUUCUGGUAUCCUGGCUUAAUCAACCAGGAGCCAGAGGACUGGGAGCAGAGAGGUUUUGCUGCUUUUCACAGUAAAUGUUCAAAAAGUACCUGGCAGAGCCUCUGAAAUACAUUCCGCCUGGUUACGCCAUAAUGGUUCCUGAAAGGUUUGGAGAGUCAAAAAUCAGUUGUGCUGUGGAGAUUCUGGGGAAAGUAGGAGGUUAAAUGCAGGUCUUGGCACAAUAGUCCAUUAAGUUUAUUUUCUGUUUACUAUUCUGAGGUAUAAAUGGCUUAGGAUCUGAAUUGAAAAGAUUCAGCAUGGCUCAUUUGGAGAAGGCGAUGCAAAGAGCCGGAGGGGAUACAAGGAGCAUGAGCAAGUCUCAAUCCAUUUAGUUCUGUAACAACAUUUCCAACCUAAGUACUUUUUUAUUAGGGGACACUACUGUAAGCCCAGAAUUAAAAAUCUCGACGAGUACUGAUAAAUCUGUUUGAUCCCCCUCAAAGCAAAUUUACAGAGUGUAAGCUGCAGUAAAAUCCCUGCGGCUCCUCCAGGGCAGAAGAGAAGCUGCGCCCCACUCCUGGCAUGGCUACCUUGUGGGUGAUCCGUGAGUACCCUCUGUGGGUAUCACCACGGAACUGCAGAACGAGGCACAGCCAGCACACACCAGGAGUGCACUCCUGCAGAUUCAAAGGAUGCUCCCCAGAGAGGGGCUGGGAGCCAUGUGUUCACCUUUUACACCUUCAAGAGGGGCUGUCAAGUCACACUUCUCUC
ensembl:lncRNA